GACGAACGCUGGCGGCGUGCUUAACACAUGCCAGUCGAACGGAAAGGCCCUGCUUUUGUGGGGUGCUCGAGUGGCGAACGGGUGAGUAACACGUGAGUAACCUGCCCUUGACUUUGGGAUAACUUCAGGAAACUGGGGCUAAUACCGGAUAGGAGCUCCUGCUGCGUGGUGGGGGUUGGAAAGUUUCGGCGGUUGGGGAUGGACUCGCGGCUUAUCAGCUUGUUGGUGGGGUAGUGGCUUACCAAGGCUUUGACGGGUAGCCGGCCUGAGAGGGUGACCGGCCACAUUGGGACUGAGAUACGGCCCAGACUCCUACGGGAGGCAGCAGUGGGGAAUAUUGCACAAUGGGCGGAAGCCUGAUGCAGCAACGCCGCGUGCGGGAUGACGGCCUUCGGGUUGUAAACCGCUUUCGCCUGUGACGAAGCGUGAGUGACGGUAAUGGGUAAAGAAGCACCGGCUAACUACGUG
rnacentral:rRNA from 1 species